rnacentral:rRNA from 1 species
UCGGGAAUUUUGGGCAAUGGGCGAAAGCCUGACCCAGCAACGCCGCGUGAAGGAUGAAGUAUUUCGGUAUGUAAACUUCGUAAGAAUAGGAAGAAUAAAUGACGGUACUAUUUGUAAGGUCCGGCUAACUACGUGCCAGCAGCCGCGGUAAUACGUAGGGACCAAGCGUUGUUCGGAUUUACUGGGCGUAAAGGGCGCGUAGGCGGCGUGGUAAGUCACUUGUGAAAUCUCCGAGCUUAACUCGGAACGGUCAAGUGAUACUGCUGUGCUAGAGUACAGAAGGGGCAAUCGGAAUUCUUGGUGUAGCGGUGAAAUGCGUAGAUAUCAAGAGGAACACCUGAGGUGAAGACGGGUUGCUGGGCUGAUACUGACGCUGAGGCGCGAAAGCUAGGGUAGCAAACGGGAUUAGAUACCCGUGUAGUCCCUGAGCGGGCUGGCAAGGCGCAU